rnacentral:rRNA from 1 species
AACGAACGCUGGCGGCAUGCCUAACACAUGCAAGUCGAACGAGACCUUCGGGUCUAGUGGCGCACGGGUGCGUAACGCGUGGGAACCUGCCCUUAGGUUCGGAAUAACUCCCCGAAAGGGGUGCUAAUACCGGAUAAUGUCUUCGGCCCAAAGAUUUAUCGCCUUUGGAUGGGCCCGCGUUGGAUUAGCUAGUUGGUAGGGUAAAAGCCUACCAAGGCGACGAUCCAUAGCUGGUCUGAGAGGAUGAUCAGCCACACUGGGACUGAGACACGGCCCAGACUCCUACGGGAGGCAGCAGUGGGGAAUCUUGGACAAUGGGCGAAAGCCUGAUCCAGCAAUGCCGCGUGAGUGAUGAAGGCCUUAGGGUUGUAAAGCUCUUUUACCCGGGAUGAUAAUGACAGUACCGGGAGAAUAAGCUCCGGCUAACUCCGUG